UUUAACCUACGGGAGGCAGCAGUGGGGAAUAUUGGGCAAUGGGCGCAAGCCUGACCCAGCAACGCCGCGUGAAGGAAGAAGGCUUUCGGGUUGUAAACUUCUUUUCUCAGGGACGAAGAAAGUGACGGUACCUGAGGAAUAAGCCACGGCUAACUACGUGCCCGCAGCCGCGGUAAUACGUAGGUGGCAAGCGUUAUCCGGAUUUAUUGGGUGUAAAGGGCGUGUAGGCGG
rnacentral:rRNA from 1 species